UACGAAGGGAGCUAGCGUUGUUCGGAUUUACUGGGCGUAAAGGGCGCGUAGGCGGUUUAGUAAGUUGGAUGUGAAAGCCCUGGGCUCAACCCGGGAAUUGCAUUCAAAACUACUUUACUCGGAUUUGGUAGAGGUUGGUAGAAUUCCCAGUGUAGAGGUGAAAUUCGUAGAGAUUGGGAAGAAUACCCGUGGCGAAGGCGGCCAACUGGACCAACAUCGACGCUGAGGCGCGAAAGCGUGGGUAGCAAACAGG
rnacentral:rRNA from 1 species